UGUGAACGCUGGCGGCGUGCCUAAUACAUGCAAGUCGAGCGAAUGGAUUAAGAGCUUGCUCUUAUGAAGUUAGCGGCGGACGGGUGAGUAACACGUGGGUAACCUGCCCAUAAGACUGGGAUAACUCCGGGAAACCGGGGCUAAUACCGGAUAACAUUUUGAACCGCAUGGUUCGAAAUUGAAAGGCGGCUUCGGCUGUCACUUAUGGAUGGACCCGCGUCGCAUUAGCUAGUUGGUGAGGUAACGGCUCACCAAGGCAACGAUGCGUAGCCGACCUGAGAGGGUGAUCGGCCACACUGGGACUGAGACACGGCCCAGACUCCUACGGGAGGCAGCAGUAGGGAAUCUUCCGCAAUGGACGAAAGUCUGACGGAGCAACGCCGCGUGAGUGAUGAAGGCUUUCGGGUCGUAAAACUCUGUUGUUAGGGAAGAACAAGUGCUAGUUGAAUAAGCUGGCACCUUGACGGUACCUAACCAGAAAGCCACGGCUAACUACGUGCCAGCAGCCGGGACAAUAC
rnacentral:rRNA from 1 species